rnacentral:misc_RNA from 1 species
GAUGAAGAACAUAGUGAAAUGCGAUACGUAAUGUGAAUUGCAGAAUUCAGUGAAUCAUCGAGUCUUUGAACGCACAUUGCGCCCCCUGGUAUUCCGGGGGGCAUGCCUGUCCGAGCGUCAUUGCUGCCCUCAAGCACGGCUUGUGUGUUGGGCCUCCGUCCUCCUCCCGGGGGACGGGCCCGAAAGGCAGCGGCGGCACCGCGUCCGGUCCUCGAGCGUAUGGGGCUUCGUCACCCGCUCUUGUAGGCCCGGCCGGCGCUUGCCGACACAUCAAUCUUUUUUCCAGGUUGACCUCGGAUCAGGUAGGGAUACCCGCUGAACUUAAGCAUAUCAAUAAGCGGAGGA